rfam:Mesocricetus auratus contig024104, whole genome shotgun sequence.
GGUUUCUGGAUUCUGGUGCCAUCUCCCUCUUCAGUGUCCUGUCUUGAGUUGAUUUGACUGAUCCAACUGUCUAGGGAGGUAUCUCCUACCUCCCUCACCGCUCCACGUGCAUCCUUCCUGAACCUGCAGGUUCGGUUAAAGAAUUCUGCCUUCUCCGAUAGAAGAGGACCAUUUUUUUGUCAAGGAAACAAGAAUUGCUGAACUCCUCUUCUAGAACCUCCAAAAAGCUCUCAAGAUCCUCUCUGGAUGAAAGCACUUACUUAUAUCUUCUUUAUGCUCCUCAGA